GAUGAACGCUGGCGGCGUGCCUAAUACAUGCAAGUCGAGCGAAUGGAUUAAGAGCUUGCUCUUAUGAAGUUAGCGGCGGACGGGUGAGUAACACGUGGGUAACCUGCCCAUAAGACUGGGAUAACUCCGAGAAACCGGGGCUAAUACCGGAUAACAUUUUGAACCGCAUGGUUCGAAAUUGAAAGGCGGCUUAGGCUGUCACUUAUGGAUGGACCCGGGUCGCAUUAGCUAGUUGGUGAGGUAACGGCUCACCAAGGCAACGAUGCGUAGCCGACGUGAGAGGGUGAGAGGCCACACUGAGACUGAGACACGGCCCAGACUCCUACGGGAGGCAGCAGUAGGGAAUCUUCCGAAAUGGACGAAAGUCUGACGGCGCAACGCCGCGUGAGUGAUGAAGGCUUUCGGGUCGUAAAACUCUGUUGUUAGGGAAGAACAAGUGCUAGUUGAAUAAGCUGGCACCUUGACGGUACCUAAUCAGAAAGCCACGGCUAACUACGUGCCAGCCGCCGCAGUAA
rnacentral:rRNA from 1 species